GCUGGCGGCGUGCCUAAUACAUGCAAGUCGAACGAGUUCUCGUUGAUGAUCGGUGCUUGCACCGAGAUUCAACAUGGAACGAGUGGCGGACGGGUGAGUAACACGUGGGUAACCUGCCCUUAAGUGGGGGAUAACAUUUGGAAACAGAUGCUAAUACCGCAUAGAUCCAAGAACCGCAUGGUUCUUGGCUGAAAGAUGGCGUAAGCUAUCGCUUUUGGAUGGACCCGCGGCGUAUUAGCUAGUUGGUGAGGUAAUGGCUCACCAAGGCGAUGAUACGUAGCCGAACUGAGAGGUUGAUCGGCCACAUUGGGACUGAGACACGGCCCAAACUCCUACGGGAGGCAGCAGUAGGGAAUCUUCCACAAUGGACGCAAGUCUGAUGGAGCAACGCCGCGUGAGUGAAGAAGGCUUUCGGGUCGUAAAACUCUGUUGUUGGAGAAGAAUGGUCGGCAGAGUAACUGUUGUCGGCGUGACGGUAUCCAACCAGAAAGCCACGGCUAACUACGUGCCAGCAGCCGCGGUAAUACGUAGGUGGCAAGCGUUAUCCGGAUUUAUUGGGCGUAAAGCGAGCGCAGGCGGUUUUUUAAGUCUGAUGUGAAAGCCCUCGGCUUAACCGAGGAAGCGCAUCGGAAACUGGGAAACUUGAGUGCAGAAGAGGACAGUGGAACUCCAUGUGUAGCGGUGAAAUGCGUAGAUAUAUGGAAGAACACCAGUGGCGAAGGCGGCUGUCUGGUCUGUAACUGACGCUGAGGCUCGAAAGCAUGGGUAGCGAACAGGAUUAGAUACCCUGGUAGUCCAUGCCGUAAACGAUGAAUGCUAGGUGUUGGAGGGUUUCCGCCCUUCAGUGCCGCAGCUAACGCAUUAAGCAUUCCGCCUGGGGAGUACGACCGCAAGGUUGAAACUCAAAGGAAUUGACGGGGGCCCGCACAAGCGGUGGAGCAUGUGGUUUAAUUUGAAGCAACGCGAAGAACCUUACCAGGUCUUGACAUCUUUUGAUCACCUGAGAGAUCAGGUUUCCCCUUCGGGGGCAAAAUGACAGGUGGUGCAUGGUUGUCGUCAGCUCGUGUCGUGAGAUGUUGGGUUAAGUCCCGCAACGAGCGCAACCCUUAUGACUAGUUGCCAGCAUUUAGUUGGGCACUCUAGUAAGACUGCCGGUGACAAACCGGAGGAAGGUGGGGAUGACGUCAAAUCAUCAUGCCCCUUAUGACCUGGGCUACACACGUGCUACAAUGGAUGGUACAACGAGUUGCGAGACCGCGAGGUCAAGCUAAUCUCUUAAAGCCAUUCUCAGUUCGGACUGUAGGCUGCAACUCGCCUACACGAAGUCGGAAUCGCUAGUAAUCGCGGAUCAGCACGCCGCGGUGAAUACGUUCCCGGGCCUUGUACACACCGCCCGUCACACCAUGAGAGUUUGUAACACCCGAAGCCGGUGGCGUAACCCUUUUAGGGAGCGAGCCGUUAAGGUGGG
rnacentral:rRNA from 2 species